UNCAAAUGUGAGCUACUAUGCCUGGUCCC
rnacentral:piRNA from 1 species